rnacentral:rRNA from 1 species
UACAGAGGGGGCAAGCGUUAUUCGGAAUUAUUGGGCGUAAAGGGCGCGUAGGCGGCUUUGCAAGUGACGGGUGAAAUCCCUCGGCUUAACCGAGGAACUGCCUGUCAGACUGCAUGGCUUGAGACCGGGAGAGGUGAGUGGAAUUCCCAGUGUAGCGGUGAAAUGCGUAGAUAUCUGGAGGAACACCGGUGGCGAAGGCGGCAUCCUGGACCAACACUGACGCUGAGGAGCGAAAGCCAGGGGAGCAAACGGG